rnacentral:rRNA from 1 species
GACGUAGGGCGCGAGCGUUGUCCGGAUUUAUUGGGCGUAAAGAGCUCGUAGGCGGCUUGUCGCGUCGUCCGUGAAAACCUGCAGCUCAACUGCAGGCUUGCGGUCGAUACGGGCAGGCUAGAGUUCGGUAGGGGAGACUGGAAUUCCUGGUGUAGCGGUGAAAUGCGCAGAUAUCAGGAGGAACACCGGUGGCGAAGGCGGGUCUCUGGACAGUUCCUGACGCUGAGGCGCGAAGGCCAGGGGAGCAAACGGG